CUCUCUGCUUUAAGGAUCAAGAUGUGAAAGAACCUAGUGGGGAAACCCCCACUCAACUCCCGAUUCGGCGUGCACCCAAGAAUCACGAAUAGAACA
rnacentral:pre_miRNA from 7 species